rnacentral:rRNA from 1 species
UACGAAGGGGGCUAGCGUUGCUCGGAAUCACUGGGCGUAAAGGGUGCGUAGGCGGGUCUUUAAGUCAGGGGUGAAAUCCUGGAGCUCAACUCCAGAACUGCCUUUGAUACUGAAGAUCUUGAGUUCGGGAGAGGUGAGUGGAACUGCAAGUGUAGAGGUGAAAUUCGUAGAUAUUCGGAAGAACACCAGUGGCGAAGGCGACUCACUGGCCCGAUACUGACGCUGAGGCGCGAAAGCGUGGGGAGCAACAGG